AGUCUCAGCGCGUGCGGGAUGAAGGGGCUUAGCCUCGUAAACCGCUGUCGGAGGGGACGAAUGGUACAUUUGAUGUACUGAGACGGUACCCUCAAAGGAAGGAUCGGCUAACUACGUGCCAGCAGCCGCGGUAAUACGUAGGAUCCGAGCGUUGUCCGGAAUUACUGGGUGUAAAGGGUGCGUAGGCGGACUUGUGCGUCAGAGGUGAAAUCCACGGGCUUAACCCGUGGGGUGCCUUUGAUACGGCAAGUCUUGAGUGCGAGAGAGGUGGGUGGAAUUCCUGGUGUAGCAGUGAAAUGCGUAGAUAUCAGGAGGAACACCGAUGGCGAAGGCAGCCCACCGGCUCGCAACUGACGCUGAGGCACGAAAGCGUGGGGAUCAAACAGGAUUAGAUACCCUGGUAGUCCACGCCUUAAACGAUGUAUGCUUGGUGUUGGGUCGCAAGACUCAGUGCCGGAGGAAACCUAUUAAGCAUACCACCUGGGGAGUACGAUCGCAAGGUUGAAACUCAAAGGAAUUGACGGGGGC
rnacentral:rRNA from 1 species